GCUCGGAUGGUGGAAUUGGCAGACACGCUAGACUUAGGAUCUAGUGCCGCAAGGCGUGGGGGUUCGAAUCCCCCUUUGAGCA
rnacentral:tRNA from 1 species